UACGUAGGGGGCAAGCGUUGUCCGGAUUUACUGGGCGUAAAGCGUGCGCAGGCGGUUCGCUAAGACCGAUGUGAAAUCCCCGGGCUUAACCUGGGAACUGCAUUGGUGACUGGCGGGCUAGAGUAUGGCAGAGGGGGGUAGAAUUCCACGUGUAGCAGUGAAAUGCGUAGAGAUGUGGAGGAAUACCGAUGGCGAAGGCAGCCCCCUGGGCCAAUACUGACGCUCAUGCACGAAAGCGUGGGGAGCAAACAGG
rnacentral:rRNA from 1 species